rnacentral:snRNA from 1 species
UUACUUACCUGGACGGUGUUGACGGCGGAUCAAGAACAGUCGUGGCCUAGGCUAGUGGUCCACAUUGCACUUGGUGGAUGCGCUGGCAUACCAUCUCCCCAAGUGGGAGAGUGGACGUCAUAAUUUGUGGAAGAGGGGAUACGCGUUUGUGCGGCCCCCGC